GAUGAACGCUGGCGGCGUGCCUAAUACAUGCAAGUCGAGCGAACGGACGAGAAGCUUGCUUCUCUGAUGUUAGCGGCGGACGGGUGAGUAACACGUGGAUAACCUACCUAUAAGACUGGGAUAACUUCGGGAAACCGGAGCUAAUACCGGAUGAUAUUUUGAACCGCAUGGUUCAAAAGUGAAAGACGGUCUUGCUGUCACUUAUAGAUGGAUCCGCGCUGCAUUAGCUAGUUGGUAAGGUAACGGCUUACCAAGGCAACGAUGCAUAGCCGACCUGAGAGGGGGAACGGCCACACUGGAACUGAGACACGGUCCGGACUCCUACGGGAGGCAGCGGUAGGGAAUCUUCCGAAAUGGGCGAAAGCCUGACGGAGCAACGCGGGGUGGGUGAAGAAGGUCUUCGGAUCGUAAAACUCUGUUAUUAGGGAAAAACAUAUGUGUAAGUAACUGUGCACAUCUUGACGGUACCUAAUAAGAAAGCCACGGCUAACUACGG
rnacentral:rRNA from 1 species